GACGAACGCUGGCGGCGUGCUCAACACAUGCAAGUCGAACGAGUGUCGAACGGGUGAGUAACACGUGUGUGACCUGCCCUGUACUUCGGGAUAUGCUCGGGAAAUUGGGUCUAAUACUGGCUAGUGCGGGAUGGGCUCGCGGACUACCAGCUUGCUGGUGGGGGAACGGCUAACAAGGCGCGACGGGUAGCCGGCCUGCGAGGGUGGACGGUCACAUUGGGACUGGGGCACGGCCCAGAAACCUACGGGAGGCAGCAGUGGGGAAUAUUGCACAAUGGGCGGAAGCCUGAUACAGCGACGACGCAUGAGUAAGGAAGGUUUUCGGGUCGUGAAACUCUGUUAUUAGGAAAGCGGUAUCUAACCAGAGAGCCACGGCUAACUACGUGCCAGCAGCCGCGGUAAUAC
rnacentral:rRNA from 1 species